AACGAACGCUGGCGGCAGGCCUAACACAUGCAAGUCGAGCGAACCCUUCGGGGUUAGCGGCGGACGGGUUAGUAACGCGUGGGAAUAUACCCUUUGGUACGGAAUAGCCUCGGGAAACUGAGAGUAAUACCGUAUGUGCCCUUCGGGGGAAAGAUUUAUCGCCAAAGGAUUAGCCCGCGUUGGAUUAGAUAGUUGGUGGGGUAAUGGCCUAUCAAGUCUACGAUCCAUAGCUGGUUUGAGAGGAUGAUCAGCAACACUGGGACUGAGACACGGCCCAGACUCCUACGGGAGGCAGCAGUGGGGAAUCUUAGACAAUGGGCGCAAGCCUGAUCUAGCCAUGCCGCGUGGACGAUGAAGGCCUUAGGGUUGUAAAGUCCUUUCAGAUGGGAAGAUAAUGACGGUACCAUCAGAAGAAGCCCCGGCUAACUCCGUGCCAGCAGCCGCGGUAAAGUAGACGU
rnacentral:rRNA from 1 species